CAGCUGGCCUACGGCCAUGGACCUCCCUGAAAGACGCCUACAUGCGAAUCCCCGUUGUAAUAGGGAGCACGGCCUCGACCCACUCACGGAUGCCAGAGAAUGGCGCCGGUGGCGCACCUCCUGCUGUAAUACAAGAAGAAGAUCAGUACAUACAAACAUAAAUAAGGGCAUUUAACCAAAGGAAAUCAGGGCCAUCGUAAAAGAAACUUACGAGCAAGGUUCCACUCCUCUUGGAAGCCGGUAGCGCAGGCCACCAGGUGCUCGGUCCUGAUGUAAAAGAAAUGCUCGUAAGGACGGGUAGCGACCUCGUCAUCGAGCUCCGCAAUUAAGCCUUCAGCCCCACGAGGGACCAGCCGAAUCAUGGUACCACGUACCCUCUGAGGGGCGUAAAAAGUUAGCACGUGCCCAAGUGUAAUCUUCCUCCGUGCAGCUUUGCAUAUUUGAUCACCAUCGCCAAUAAUUUGUAGCAAGAAGGGACGAACUGACCAGGGCACACCCUGUAGUAACGGCAAAUGUCCACCACCAGCAUGGGGAGAGGAAGCCUAAUUCCCAGCUUGAAAGGGUAGGCAUAAAAGACGCAGUACCCUUGGUGGUCAACGUGUACCCUAUUGCCGCUCCUUGCCAAGACGAUAUCAACGAAGCGAGGAAUAUCACACUGCUCCUUCAGCUGAGAAAUGCCAACUUCCCCCAUCAGUGGAGCCUCAUCCACUUGAUAUUCUCCCUCGAAGUCGGUAACAUCGGCCGUCAUACCGCCGGGUAGGGAAAGAAUGUCUGUCGCCGACGGGAAUCGGUCAACAUUCGGCGAAUCGGUGGUUCACCGUAGAGGGGCCCGCAGCCGCCGCAACCGCCACCAGAUCUAUACCAGAACGAGAACUGCUCGCCAUUAUCAGUAUAAUGAGAAAAAAUGGCAAAAUUCACUGAAAAACAAGAGAAUACGACGAUCCGACAAAAAUGACGGAGAAUGAAUACGAGGAGUAAAAGACUAGAUAAUCUGAAAACAAGAAGGGCUAUCUCUCUCAGAAUUCCACUCAGACAAAUAUCGGAAAAGUGAGAACUAAACGAUACAACCCCUUAUUUAUAGACAAAGAAUAAAUGACCUUCACAAAUCCUAAAGGUCAGCAUUAACUACCUGACCAACUGCAAACGGUUAAGGCCUACAGUGACGGGCACCAUUAUGACAGAUACCACUAAACGGUCAUUCAACCGUCAAUCGAUGCUUCCCCCAUGAAACGGAUGUGACGACCUCGAGGUACCAUGGGCACGCUCCAUGCGUCACAAUGCAUAUGAUGUCCCCCUUAUACGCGGUAAGCAUGAUCGUAUUCUCUCCAGACACGCGUAAAUAGCUACGACCAUCUCCAAAGUAAACAUGGCUACGACCAUCUCUAAAGUAAAAAUGGCUACGGCCAUCUCAGAAGUAAAAAUGGCUACGCCUAUCUCAAAAUUGAAAAUGGCCACGGCCAUAUCCAAAGUAAAAGUGGUUACGGCCAUCUCAGGGGUAAAAAUGGCUACGGCCAUAUCCAAAGCAAAAAUAGCCACGGCCAUCUCAGAAGUAAAAAUGGCCACGACCAUCUCGGAAGUACAAAUGGCUACGGUCACAUCGGAAGAUAAAAUGGCUACCGCCAUCUCCAAAAAAUAAAAUGGCUACAGCCAUCUCCAACAGAUAAAACGACUACGGCCAUUUCUAAAUCAAAAAUGGCUACGACCACCUCCCAAGUGAAAAUGGUUACGGCCAUUUCCGAAGAAUAAGGGGCUACGAUCGCCCCCAAUACAUAAAUGACUACAGUUAUAGGUAGAAUCCGCUCAUCGAGCUCAGCCUAGGCACGCCCUUAAUAAGCGGAGGGACUAUCUGUAUGGGUCAAAACUUGACCUCAUGAUAAUGAAUGAGAUCAACGCGUUUAUUAGAGCCUAUUCACGAUUAAUAAAUGGUACGACCAUUUAUUAACAAGAUUGUCGGGAGGUUACCUAAUGUGACAGCUGAGGCCACAGACUGGCCGUCCUUACGAGGGCAUCCCCUCUAUGUUGUCUCAGUUCCUAGGCACCAGCUGACAAAUUUUCUAGUUGUAAAAACUAAGAGAAAGAACCCUAAAAAGGGGGCUUCUUCUUCUUCUUCACACCUCCUUCUGAAAGAUGAGAGAAUACAUCAUUGUAAGCCUCUGAACCUCUCCAUGGAGAAGCAGACAGAACCGACAUUAUUAAUAAAAGAUCCUCAUCCUACCCCCUUAAUCUAUAGUUGUUGUCUCUUGUAUUUUAUUCCUUUGGUCUUUGGAUUUAUUACGAUCUGCUAUGAAUAAUCAGAAUAAUAUGAAGAUGACCUCGAAAUGGAAAUACGAUGGUUCCUUUAGCUCCGUUAGGUGAUUUUGGGGUUGAGAGAAUGAUUGGAAUAUAUUUUGGAUGACUAUAGCUUAUUAAGGCUAGAAAUGCCGAAAGUUGAUAUUUGGGGGUUCUGGUCCGAUAGUGAAUUUUUUAUCCGAGUGUUGAAACGGAAUUCCGGAAUUGUUGUAGCACCUUCAUGUCAUUUGGGACGUGCAUGCAAAAUUUCAGGUCAAUCGGACGAGUGUUGUUUAGGUUUUGGAUCGAAAGCGUAUUUUGGAUAAACUUGAGGUUCUUAGGCUUAAAUCUUUGAUUUAAUCGGGUUUUUGGUGUUGUUUUGGAGGUUUUAUGGAUUGGUACAAGUUCAAAUAACGCGUUAGAAGGUAUUGGUGUUUUGGUUGGGGUCCCGGGGGGCCUCGAGAUGAUUUCGAAUAGUUGACGGGGUGGAUUUUGAAGUGUUGCAGCAGCUGAUGUUUUUCCCUUCUGGUAUUUUCGCUUAUGCGGUUAGUGAGCCGCAGAAGUGGAGCCAAAUAAGCGUCCUGUCUCACCGCAGAAGGGAUGUGGGGUGUGGCCUUCAGAGACCGUAGAAGCGGUCAACUACCCGCAAAGGCGAAACCGCAGAUGCGGUUGUACGUCCAAAAAAGCGGACUCUGGCCCCCUUAAUGAAAUCCGCAGAAGCGGAUCCUUUGUCCGCAUGUGCGGGACCGCAGAAGCGAAAAUUGUUCUUCUGAUAAGGGUUUAUCCGAGGUUUAAUUUCAAAAGUUGGAAAAUCAAUAGAGAGCUCGAGAGAAGGUGAUUUUGAGUGGGUUUUAAAGAGAAGAUCAUUGGGUAACGUUGCAAUGGAAAUUAAAAGAUAAAAUUGGAAUGAAAGAUAAUAAUAUAAUAUAGAAGAGAAGGAAGAAUAUAAAAAAGUUUGGGGGAGAAAAAGGGAAUGAAUGGAAUAAGUUGUAUUUAAAAUGAAAAAAUUUUCAUUUUGGGGAUAAAAGUGGGGUAUGGUCUUAGACUAGCAAAUUGUGGUGGAAAAACAUACUAUUGACUAACUGUGCUGCUACUCCUAUAGUUCAAAACCAAGUUAUAUCUUCAUUUUUCGAACAACUUAUUUCAUAGACGAGCAACAUCAUACAUGAUAUACAGCCACUACAGACGAAACUUGGCAUUCAAAGUGUACAUAAUAUCAAAUUCCAUGAUAGAGUUUCAGUCAAAAAUCGAGAAAAUAUCAACAUAUAACACUAAACAAUCAGAUUUUUAUUUUAUAGAUUUGGCAUAUAACUGCACAAGAAUCUGACAUACCCGAUAAUAGAAAUCGGCAGGAACUGACUCAAAAGAAAAUUUUGAAACAGCCUCGACUAGAGCUCAGCAACAAAUUGAAAGAAAGACAGCAAGAAACAGCAGAGUUCCCAGCUAGCUCUAUUUCAGAAUCCCAAAAAUACAAAUGCAAAUGUUUUCGAAUCCUCAGAACCAACUACAACUUUUUUUCUUGUUUUCUGAAUUAUUUGGAAUGCAAAAAUCGAUCUCAGCUCUACUGCUUUUCCUUGAAUUUCAAAACCUUUUGGCUUUUCUUUUUGGAUCUAGAUUUGCACUCUAUAAUAUCUAUGUAUUACAGGAUGUGUGUGUAUCCUUUUUCAAUUUUGAGAGGAGAUUUCUCAAAAAUCUGAAGGGGAAGACGUUGGUUUCUCUUAGGAAGGGAAGGGAGGGUCUGAUGGCUAAGCUCUCUGACGUGUGGUGUGUUCUUUGGUGAUGGUGAAAAUGGAGAAGAAGCUAGGAGGGAGAUGGUGCGCCGUUCACUCUUAGAAGGGGGAGGGGGUGAGAGGGGGGCUCUUUGGCUCUAAGGCCUCAUUUAUUUGUAUUUAAUGAAUAUUUGAAUCUUAAUUAUUCAAAUCUCAAACAUUAAGUGUAUUUAUUUUUAAAGUUUGAAUUUUAAUUAUUCAGAUCUUAA
rnacentral:lncRNA from 1 species